rnacentral:rRNA from 1 species
AUGCAAGUCGCGUGCGCAGUUUCCGUAGCAAUACGGGGAUGGGCGCACGGCGCACGGGUGCGUAACACGUGGGCAAUCUGCCCUCCGAUGGGGAAUACCCCCGCGAAAGCGGGACUAAUUCCGCAUAACAUUCCUUGGAUUAACUUUCGAGGAUUCAAAGCAGCAAUGCGUCGGAGGAGGAGCCCGCGCCCGAUUAGCUAGUUGGUGAGGUAACGGCUCACCAAGGCAAUGAUCGGUAGCUGGUCUGAGAGGAUGGCCAGCCACACUGGAACUGAGACACGGUCCAGACUCCUACGGGAGGCAGCAGUGGGGAAUCUUGCACAAUGGGCGAAAGCCUGAUGCAGCGACGCCGCGUGGGGGAUGAAGCUUUUCGGAGUGUAAACCCCUUUCGACUGGGACGAAUGCCUCGCAAGAGGAGUGACGGUACCAAUAUAAGAAGCCCCGGCUAACUACGUGCCAGCAGCCGCGGUAAGACGUAGGGGGCCAGCGUUGUUCGGAAUUACUGGGUGUAAAGGGUUCGUAGGCGGUGUGGCAAGUCGGGAGUGAAAUCUCUGGGCUCAACCCAGAGACUGCUUCCGAAACUGCUGUGCUUGAGUGUGAGAGAGGCUCGUG